AGACCUUUAGCUCAUUGGUUAGAGCCGACCGCUCAUAACGGUCUGGUUGCAGGUUCGAGUCCUGCCGGGCCCA
rnacentral:tRNA from 1 species